AUUGAACGCUAGCGGGAUGCUUUACACAUGCAAGUCGAACGAGUGGCGGACGGGUGAGUAAUAUAUGGGAACGUGCCCGGUAGCGGGGGAUAACUACUGGAAAGGGUGGCUAAUACCGCAUACCAUCGGAUCUGCCCAGAUGGGAUUAGCUAGUUGGUGGGGUAACGGCUCACCAAGGCAACGAUCCGUAGCUGGUUUGAGAGGACGACCAGCCACACUGGGACUGAGACACGGCCCAGACUCCUACGGGAGGCAGCAGUGGGGAAUUUUGGACAAUGGGGGAAAGCCUGAUCCAGCCAUGCCGCGUGUAUGAGAAGGCCUUCGGGUUGUAAAGUACUUUUGGCAGAGAAGCGGUAUCUGCAGAAUAAGCACCGGCUAACUACGUGCCAGCAGCCGCGGUAAUAC
rnacentral:rRNA from 1 species